rnacentral:lncRNA from 1 species
UCAGUUUACAAAAACUUAAUUAGGGACACCUGUGAUAAAGCCUGCCCAGUAAUCAAGGACAUUCAUCUCAGGUCCUUAAGAAGGAGAGGAGGUACAGAACUCACAUCACAGGAAGACUCAGUGGAGAUGUUAGAGGCCUUAACGAGUGGUGUGAUAAACUGAGGUGCUCAGAAGGUGUGUUCAACAGGUGUCAUUCUAAUUAAAGUGUCUAAAUUCUGAAUGACAAUAUAUUCCUUGUUGUGUCUCCUGGUUAAAAUUACAGGACUCAAUUAAGAUUGUUAUGGAAAUUGAAAUAUAACUGGAACUCCGGCAACAGUCUCCUCCACUGUGGAGGAGUUCACCUGAAUAUUGUGGAGGAGACGAUUGCUGGAGUAUUUCAAUUUUCAUUACAAUUUUAAUUGAGUCCUGGUAAUCACACGUUUGGUGAAACUGAAGAGAUGUUGGUGUUCUAUAGCAAAAUGUUUUUGGUACAAACAAAUAUUUUAGUCAUGGUCAUUUUCUUUUUGCCGGUUAGUAAGGCUUCAGACAGGAACUGGUCUUCAUCGGUUUUCAGGACAACCUCACCAUGGGGGUGUUAAUGAUGUUCUUGCUUCUCAGUGCUGCUUAUUCUUUGGGAGAUGCAAGUUUUAGUAAGGACUCCCCUCAUAUUUUUAACAUGGUGUCAUUUAAUAGUUUAAUGCAGUAUGUAGCUCAAACUUGUUUAUUGUAAACUGAAAUACACAAUGUACCCUGUUGUCUUAAUCAGCCAUUUAGACUGGUCAAUAUCUUACUGUUUUACAGGGACACCUGAAUGUAAUCAGGGAUGGCAGCAGUUUGGAUCCCGCUGCUUCAGUUUUGAAGGACUGAGGUCAUGGACUUCAGGGACAGUCUUGCUCCCAGAUCUGACAGGAGCUGGUCCUGGACUGAUGGAUCUGGGUUUAAUUACCACGAAUGGGCACAAGGGGAACCCAACAACUAUAAUGGUGUCAGAGACGUGUAUUCAGAUGAACUUUGGAGGUAUCGUCAUUUACCUGUCCAUCAGUCACAUCGAACUUGACAGUUCAUUGAAUCCUGUCCAUGUGGGAGUAAUUUUUACUGUUUUCUUUGAAGAUAAACAUCGCUGGAACGACGACGUCUGUGAGAAGCGCUUUGCAUCAGUCUGCUCCAGAAGCCAUUAAAUGAACUUGUUGCUGUGACAUCAUCCUGUUGAAUGAUGUGGUUGUCAAUAAAACAGCUGAACACAUUUCUUGUGUCAUUUGGUUUAAUUUUACAUCAUGUCCUUGAGGGUUGUU